CCACCUGCUCUGCCUCUGCCUGCCAAAUGCUGGGAUUAAUGGUAACUGAACAAAAUGUAUACAAAGGAAUGGCAUUCACCGUUAAGAAGGGAUGAAAUUCUGAUACGUGCUGCAUGUGGAUGAACCAUGAAAAUGCUGUGCUGAUUGAAAUAAGCCAGACACAAAAGGCCAAAUUAUUGUGUGAUUCCAUUUGUAUGAGGGUCUUGUCGGGAGCCGUAGGCCCCUACCCCAAGAAAUAGC